CUCUCGAUAGUUCAGUUGGAAGAACGCAUGGCUGUAAUGUUCAAGUUUACCAUGAGGUCGCUAGUUCGAAUCUUGCUCGAGAGA
rnacentral:tRNA from 1 species